CGCAAGCCUGACGGAGCAACGCCGCGUGAGGGAUGAAGGCCUCUGGGCUGUAAACCUCUUUUCUCAAGGAAGAAGAUCUGACGGUACUUGAGGAAUAAGCCACGGCUAAUUCCGUGCCAGCAGCCGCGGUAAUACGGGAGUGGCAAGCGUUAUCCGGAAUUAUUGGGCGUAAAGCGUCCGCAGGCGGCCUUGAAAGUCUGUCGUUAAAGCGUGGAGCUUAACUCCAUUUCGGCGGUGGAAACUACAAGGCUUGAGUGUGGUAGGGGCAGAGGGAAUUCCCGGUGUAGCGGUGAAAUGCGUAGAUAUCGGGAAGAACACCAGUGGCGAAGGCGCUCUGCUGGGCCAUAACUGACGCUCAUGGACGAAAGCCAGGGGAGCGAAAG
rnacentral:rRNA from 1 species